UGUUUUAUGGCUUGGUUGGUUAAAGCACCGGACUAGCGAUACGGACUUGUGGGUUUGAAUCCUACCAAACAA
rnacentral:tRNA from 1 species